AAGGCACUAAAUAAGGUAUGCGGGAAUGUUCAAAAAUAAACCUCUAACGUCUACGCACACAUAUCUCCAGCACUAAUGGGCAGUUAGAUACUCUCCCUCCCCCUUAUCUACUCUUGACGGUAUUCAUCUAUGAAUGGAAUUUUGAGUAGAAGAGCUACAUGUAAAAACUUGGCAGAAUACGAUUGACGGACUUCAAGACAAUAAUUAGAAUAAAAUUAAUAGUUUAAUAACGUAUAGUACCACUCUCUCUCUCUCUCCAUCUUGUAGUUGAUGUUUCAGAAUUUGUUCAAGGGAAGGUGCUCAUUGAAGUCGUUGCAAUUAGUUACAAGGAGCCACGCCCACAUGAAACAGAUGAGGGAGAUGAUGUUAGCAGGUGUUGCGUUGAAGCUAAAAUAAAAAUAAAAUUUUCUGUUGAUAGUGUCAGUGCCUAUAUUGAUUGCUCUUUUAGUCAAAUUUUACAGGUCAAUCAGUAUUCAGGAGGUUGACUUGACCUUUGUGUGUUCCCGUGACCUUUUGACCUCUUAAACUGAAGCACAUAUCAUGACCUAUAGGAUUGACCACACCCUCUCUCUGCCUCUCGGACUUUUUUGUAUUCCAACAAAACCACAGGCUAGGCAGCGUAAGGUAUAUUAAACACGUAACAUAAGUACAGUACAUGUACAUCAAUAUGCAUCAGAAAUGGAAAUGGGGAUUUGUGAGCC